AUUGAACGCUGGCGGCGUGCCUAACACACGCAAGUCGAGCGGUAACAGGUGUAGCAAUACAUGCUGACGAGCGGCGGACGGGUGAGUAACGCUUGGGAAUCUGCCUAUUAGUGGGGGACAACCCGGGGAAACUCGGGCUAAUACCGCAUACGCACUACGGUGGAAAGCCGGGGACCGCAAGGCCUGGCGCUAACAGAUGAGCCCAAGUCGGAUUAGCUAGUUGGUAGGUAACGGCCACCAAGGCGACGAUCCGUAACUGGUCUGAGAGGACGACCAGUCACACCGGAACUGAGACACGGUCCGGACUCCUACGGGAGGCAGCAGUGGGGAAUAUUGGACAAUGGGCGAAAGCCUGAUCCAGCGACGCCGCGUGGGUGAAGAAGGCC
rnacentral:rRNA from 1 species